GACUGAGAUUUGCUAGGUGCACAUGCAGGUGUAAUAUAUUAGCCCAAAAGUCUGUCUGGAUGUACUUUAGAAUGAGAAUUGAAGAGAAUGAGUGGGAUUCCAUAGCACUUUCUAUUUCAUGUCGAUGUUCAAAUGCCCGGCCUUGACACUGGCAACACUGGAAAAGUUAAGAAGAGUUUUUCUAUGGCAUGGUAAGGAAGAGAAGAAGAAAUUUCAUUUGGUCGAUUGGAAGGAGGCGUGUAAGCACGUACAAGAAGGUGGGGCUGGUAUAAAGGACCUUAAGAGUAUGAAUUGGGCCCUCUUAGGCAAAUGGACCUGAUGACUAGGGAGGGAGGACGGGACCCUCUGGAAUAUGUUAGUUAAGAAAAAGUAUGGGCGUUUAGAGGGGAGUUGGUGGACCAAGGACUCAUCCAACUACAGAGCUUCGGCGUUAUGGAAAGGGGUACCAUCCAUUGAAGUUAGGAAUAUCGACUCUCAUCCUGAACUCUCGAUUUGCUCGAUCGAUGUCUUGUCCGGGAUAUUGGAGUAGCACGUCGUCGACCUCCUCGUUGAUGGAUCUCCCUCUUCAAGGAUGAUCCUUUGGUUCAAUGUCGGCACUAUCCCACGAUCAAUGUAAUUACGAGUUCUCACACCCGCUAGUGGCGGGUCACCGCCAUGAACACGGAGUGGCCCUAGGGCCUCC